rnacentral:rRNA from 1 species
UACGGGGGGUGCGAGCGUUGUCCGGAAUCACUGGGCGUAAAGGGCGCGUAGGUGGUUUGAUAAGGGUGUGGUGAAAGUCCGGAGCUCAACUCCGGAUCUGCCGUGCCGACUGUCAAACUCGAGGGCUGUAGAGGCAGACGGAAUUCCGGGUGUAGCGGUGGAAUGCGUAGAGAUCCGGAGGAAGACCGGUGGCGAAGGCGGUCUGCUGGGCAGUUUCUGACACUGAGGCGCGACAGCGUGGGGAGCAAACGGG